AAUUAUUUAUUGUUUUUAUUAGUAUGGCAAUUCAUUUGGAUGCUUGUACUUUGCAACUAUUGUUUAUGUUUUUUUACUUGUAAUACUUUCAGGAGAAAAAUGUCAGCAAAGAUGCACUUGCAGGGAAAAUCGGGAAGAUUUACGUUCCAGAUCAACAGGUUGGAAGUGCAUCUUUACCGUUUACGCCAAAGGGAGUGAAAACGGAGCAUCGUGAAGCAAAGGCUAAAGGCGAAGACAACAAGCAUGCUGAAAAGAAACAGAAGCAGAAUGAUGACGCUUCUGCUUGAUAAUGAUGUCUGUAUCUUUACCUUUGAAACAAUUUUGUUUUUAUUUAUUCUGUCUUAUUGUCAUGAUUUAUGUUAUAAUUAUAUAUACUGGGCUUCCUUUGGCAUCAAUUUUUGUAACUGUGAGAUGGCAAAAAGUUGGCUAGGUCAUGUUGUUUGGAAGUAGUCAUGUUGCUCAAUUUGAGCUUGUUAACCGUUAGUUAUAUACCUGUUGCUUGAUAGUCAAA